AGGACGAACGCUGGCGGCGUGCUUAACACAUGCAAGUCAAGGGGGCCCAGCAAUGGGCAACCGGCGAACGGGUGCGUAACACGUGAGCAACCUACCGAAAUGUGGGGGGAUAGCCGGCCUAACGGCCGAGUAAUACCGCAUACGCUCUCGAUGAGGCAUUUCAUUGAGAGGAAACCUACGGGACAUUUCGAGGGGCUCGCGGCCUAUCAGCUAGUUGGAGAGGUAACGGCUCACCAAGGCAACGACGGGUAGCUGGUCUGAGGGGAUGGCCAGGCCACAUUGGGACUGAGAUACGGCCCAGACUCCUACGGGAGGCAGCAGUGGGGAAUCUUGCGCAAUGGCCUAACGGCUGACGCAGCGACGCCGCGUGUAGGAUGAAGCUCUUCGGAGUAGUAAACUACUGUUGCCCGGACGAAGUAGCUCGAUUAAUCGAGCCUGACCGGUACCGGUGAGGAAGCACCGGCUAACUCCGCGCCACGCAGCCGAC
rnacentral:rRNA from 1 species